UUUGGCGGUAUUUUAUUCUAUUUAGAGGAAUUUGUCCCAUAAUCGAUAAUCCUCGUUUUAUCUUACUUGAUUUUGUUUUAGUAUGUAUAUCGCUGUUAUAGGUUUAUUUUUUUAGAAUAAGAAUUUACUUAUUUUGUUAUUUUAAUUUAUUUCAAGUCAAGGUGCAGCUUAUAAUUAAGUGGAGAUUAAUUACAAUAUUAUUUGAAUAAAUGGAUUUUUUUUUUAAAAUUUAAUGAAGGUGGAUUUAAUAGUAAUUUUAAUUAUAGUAUUAAUUUGAUUUUAGCUCUUAAAUAAGCACACAUCGCCCGUCGCUCUA
rnacentral:rRNA from 1 species